GAAGCAUCCCGGAGACCACAAAGCAAACAUUAACAUCCUGAUCUCCCUGCCUUGACAGCACAGUCCCAGCAGUAACCUGAUGCAGUGUCACUCUGUCAUUCAGCAGGGAAGGAUCAUCAAGUUUCAUCAGGGUUGAAAGGUCUUUCUUCGCUGCUUCGAAGAUGGCAUCGGUGGGUUUGCCAUUACAGGAUUCCUGUGCAGUCAGCUCACAAUCAGUGUAACGGAAAACUACUGAAGGGGUUCUUGUCACUGUCACAGUCUUCUUCAAUAUCGACUUGCCCACAACAGGACUGCAAGAAGCCUCUUCUGAGCUGAAGUGCACUCUGGCUCUCUCAUAUGCCAUGUCCAUGUCUGACUUCGCACCGCUGGAAGUACCAGAAGUCUCUGUAGAAGGGGGUGAAGAAAGGCUUCUCCUGAAAAUAUGCUCAGGGUUUUCUGUACCAGAAUUCUUCAAUGUAUCCAUUUCUGAUGCUUCCCCAGAUUUCUCAAACUUCUCUCCACGCUC
rnacentral:lncRNA from 1 species